rnacentral:rRNA from 1 species
AGAGCGAACGCUGGCGGCAGGCCUAACACAUGCAAGUCGAGCGCGUGUAGCAAUACACGAGCGGCAGACGGGAGAGUAACACGUGGGAACGCGCCCUUCGGUUCGGAAUAACUCAGGGAAACUUGAGCUAAUACCGGAUACGCCCUUACGGGGGAAAGAUUUAUUGCCGAAGGAACGGCCCGCGUCCGAUUAGCUAGUUGGUGAGGUAACGGCUCACCAAGGCGACGAUCGGUAGCUGGUCUGAGAGGAUGACCAGCCUCACUGGGACUGAGACACGGCCCAGACUCCUACGGGAGGCAGCAGUGGGGAAUAUUGGACAAUGGGCGCAAGCCUGAUCCAGCCAUGCCGCGUGGAUGAUGAAGGCCUUAGGGUUGUAAAGUCCGUUUUAACGGGGAAGAUAAGUGACGGUACCCGUAGAAUAAGCCCCGGAUAACUUCGUGCCAGCAGCCGAC